GAUGAACGCUGACAGAAUGCUUAACACAUGCAAGUCGAUUCAAAGUUCCUUUCGGGGAACGGAGGAUGGCGGACGGGUGAGUAACGCGUAAGGAACUUGCCUUUUGGCCUGGGACAACUGUUGGAAACGACAGCUAAUACCGGAUAUUAUGAGAUUCUCGCAUGGGAAACUUAUGAAAGCUAUAUGCGCCAAAAGAGAGCCUUGCGUUCCAUUAGCUAGUUGGUGGGGUAACGGCCCACCAAGGCGACGAUGGAUAGCCGGCCUGAGAGGGUGAACGGCCACAAGGGGACUGAGACACGGCCCUUACUCCUACGGGAGGCAGCAGUGGGGAAUAUUGGACAAUGGACCAAAAGUCUGAUCCAGCAAUUCUGUGUGCACGAUGAAGGUUUUCGGAUCGUAAAGUGCUUUCAGUUGGGAAGAAGAAAGUGACGGUACCAACAGAAGAAGCGACGGCUAAAUACGUGCCA
rnacentral:rRNA from 1 species